GGACUCAAUCGUUUGUCCCAAAUGGCGCCCUAUUCCCUACAUAGAGCACUACUUUUGACCAGAGCCCUGUUCAAAAGUAGUGCAUUUACAGAAUAGUGUGCAAUUUGGGAUGUGCUCCAUGUUUAAUCACACAAUAUUGCUAUUUAAUCAUGUCAUACAUGUCAACACCAUGAUCGGUGAUGUGAUGAAUUCCACUGUCUUUAUGUUUACAUGUUUCACCUAAAAGUCUAGGGCGCCUGAAAUGUAAUAUCCCAGAAGGUGGUGGUCAGGCCCUGAACCGCUGAAUGUGUUCAGUUAAUGAUACUGAAAAUAUCAUAGAAAGACUCAGUAUUAACACAAACUAGAAAAGGACAUUUCAUAUAAAAGAAAAUGUGUGUGCUUGUUAGUCUUGAAGUAUUAUGGCUGGGAAAUAGUAGCAGUAAUGGUAGUAACUGUCGUAAUAAUGGUAGUAAUAGGGUUGUCAUAAGCUACGAGUUAGUUAAAGUGAGUUGUUUUGGGGUGGUUUGUACAUGUGGCGAUAUUAUAGUGGCGUAUAGUGGGCUAGUAUAGAGCAUAGUGUCGCUGUCUGAUGAAAACCUCUCCAAAACAGAAACUUUUCAGGAAAUUGAAAAAUAGCCAUGUUUUCAAAUUAACGAACAUACAGUUAUAAACUUCAGAGCCUAUUUUUAAUACAUUUUCUUAGUCCUAGAGUCAUGAAAUGUUCAGAGUACAUUGAGGGGAGUUACUGCUUUCAAUACAAGAAAAACAUUGGCAAAAAUGGAUAUGAGGUUUUCAUCAGACAGUGACGAUAGAGUAAUAUGGCACCAUAAUCUAUAAAAUCUGUUUGUUUGAACAUUCUGAAAGUUCUGUGGCAGUUGUUCUGCCAUUGAAAUGAAUGAGGAUACAACAAGCUUUAUAGUUUAUACAAUAGCCUAUGAAUGGUAGCAAAAAGCUGUGUUGAAGCAAUCUAAGUUGAGUCUGACUGCACAUGUCAAUGUUGGUUUGGUGUUUGUAGCAUAAACGGUUCAAGAGCAGUGCGGAUCCAACAUCGAAGGUUGAAUAUGGGCAUUUGUGGUGGUGGUUAUGGGUCUGUUAGCGGAAAUACAAAGCUUUGUUAGUGUGUUUGAAGCUUUUGGAGGUAGAAAAAAACCGCUAUGCUAUUAUGCUAGGUGGAUACAGUGAAGCAGCUCAGGUAGAUUGUAUGGACAAAACAAAUGUUUCUAUUUGCAUUACCAGUUUCACAGCUCCGGGCAAGAACACACUCUAGGCCAGGUAUGGAGAUCGCUUUAGCCAGGUUUCUCAACUCCACAAUGUACAGUACAAAUACAAUGGAGUUGAGUGGUGAUGAGUGUGGGAGGACUGCACCUCCGACUUCAUCGAGUCGCUUCCCUUGUACGUAUGUUUGUCCUGUGUAAAUGCAAGCUUUUUAUUUGGUUGCUGAAAUCUGUCGUUUUUGAUAAAUGUAGCAUUUUACGCUAACUCUGCCAAGGGAGCCAUUAUUUGUUAACGGAGAAGGAGCAGCCUGUCAUUGCACACCAUGUUUUUUUGUUUUGGCAGGGGACGCAUAAAAUGCCAAAACGAUGGAUUCCAAAUCCAACUGACAACUCUAUAACAAUCAGGACAAGCACAGAGACUACAGCUCAGCUUUCAGCUCAACUCCAUAGUCCCCUCCAAACGUAUCACCAAGCUCGGGACCCUGUGACUGAACACCUCCCUCUGCAACUGGAUCCUGGAUUUCGGUCAGAGACUUAGAAGUGUGGUUCCAGGACAAAAACUUCUCCCUCAAUGUCAGUAAGACCAAGGAGCUGAUCGUGGACUAUAGGAGAAAGAGAGGAGAGCAAGGCCCCAUACACAUUGACGGGGCUGUAGUGGAGCGGUUUGAGUGCUUUAGUUAUUUGGCGUCCACAUCACUAAGGACUUAACAUGGUCCACACACACCCGUACAGCCCCUCUUCCCCCUCAGGAGGCUGAAAAGAUUUGGCAUGGGCCCUCGGAUACUCAGAACGUUCUACAGCUGCACCAUCGAGAGCAUCUUAACUGGCUGCAUCACCCUCUGAAUGGCGCACACACAAUCCAUGUCGCAAUUGUCUCGAGGC
rnacentral:lncRNA from 1 species